CAGCCGCCGCGGGAAUACGAAGGGUGCAAGCGUUACUCGGAAUUACUGGGCGUAAAGCGUGCGUAGGUGGUGGUUUAAGUCCGUUGUGAAAGCCCUGGGCUCAACCUGGGAAUUGCAGUGGAUACUGGGUCACUAGAGUGUGGUAGAGGAUAGUGGAAUUUCCGGUGUAGCAGUGAAAUGCGUAGAGAUCGGAAGGAACAUCUGUGGCGAAGGCGACUAUCUGGGCCAACACUGACGCUGAGGUGCGAAAGCGUGGGGAGCAAACAGGAUUAGAUACCCCUGUAGUCCCUGUCUCUUAUAC
rnacentral:rRNA from 1 species